rnacentral:lncRNA from 1 species
AAAAAUAUGACUCAUUUUCCUGCUCCUCCUGUUGUCUAUUAUAUUUCAGUGGAAUUCCAGAAUCCCACAUGUUUGCCUCUGCCUCUGCCUGAGAGCUCCAGCUACUGCCUGGGUUAUGUAAACUAGAGACAUAUGGCUGAGAUGGUAAUUCUUACAUAGUUCUUUUUCUCCUGGUUUUGGGAACUCUUUUCUUCAUUGUCUCAAAUCAAGAGAAUUAGGAGGAAGAAUGGGGUCGUGAGAUGUUCCUCCACAAGACAGGAACAAUGCCUGGGGGAGGAAAGUGGCUCAGUUGGAACUUGCAAACAGAGAGGCGGAGAAUUCUGCAGAUGCUGUGGCAGUUCGAACUCCUGGAGAGCCCUUCCUGGCCCAACCUAGCUGGGACGUAGACACUGUGGGAAGCAGAAGAGGAUCAGCCAAUGGCAGAGAACCUGGACAAAGAAAAGGAUGCCAACCAACUGAGGAUAGAGACGUUUCCCUUGGCUCCUCCCGGCAAAGGAUUUUUCAGGUUUCCUGGUGAGGAGGGAGUGGAAGUUAUGACAUAAUCACACUCUAUAUUCUUUGUAGUUUGUUGUAGGCAUGGUAAUGAUUAAGUCAUCCUUUCGGUGAACUGUAUAUACUGGAUUCUUUUCUUGAGAUGGAGUCUCACUCUAUCACCCAGGCUGGAGUGCAGUGGUGCGGUCAGG